GGCCCAAUGGUCUAGUCGUAUGAUUCGCGCUUCGGGCAUCCGUCCGCGGCGUUAAGCCGUCUUAAAUGCGCGAGGUCCCGGGUUCAAUUCCCGGUUGAGCCC
rnacentral:tRNA from 1 species